GGCCGCAAACAACUACACUGCACAUUCGCGUGCCACUACAUUGGCCGGCUCCAUCGAGCUCAUAGCCAAUCCGCACAGUUUCUACACCAAGCAUCGGCAUGGUAUCUUGGUCGUCCUCUCUAAUUUGACCCUCUCACUCCAUUCUCAUUCUGCGGAAACACCAAUGAAUGCUUUCGUUCGUGUGCAGCAUCAAUGGAUCCAGGCCCGGGGAAAGAUUUUACAAAUGUCGCCUAUGUGAUGUAGUGAGUGGAAUUAUUAAAUAUAUCUACAUUGGUCCUUCAUACAUGACGUGCCGCUAACCAUUACCUCUCGUGUUCAUCGAUCUUUAACAUUUUCGUCCAUCAUAAAGCUUAUGAACCCAUCUUUCCUAUACACUACACGCAGGCUACAUCCCCACUGUCAGCACCUUCUUGAAUGACACCCAGCUGGUCUUCAUGACUUGGUCCUUCAACAACAUCCUGCUCUAUCACCUCCACGUUAUCAACCUCGCUUUGGCUGUACGCCGCCGCGCAGCCGGCUCAGGCCACCACACUCGCCUGCUCUGAGCCUCGGUCAACCGUCAACCCUCCCAAUCUGCAUGGCACCGCUGCCCAUGAGGCCCUGUAACCCAAGAUCUGUCGUCGCUGUGCAACAACUACCGCAUCCACUCACGGAUGACGCCUUGACGGCGUUGGCUGCCGCAGGCAAAUCGAAGUGCGCGACCACACCCACAGUAGAUUCCAUGUUAGGGAAUAUUGGCCAGCAGCCAGCCGCAGAAAUCCAGUAGAGUUAUCUGGACACGUCGUUAAUGGGGAAAUUCAUCAUCAUGUCCAUGCGUCGCUGCGAUGGCGCCGCCGUUCUCACGGGGGCCUUCUACAGCCCUCCACAGCAACUCUAACUACUAACUCCACCCUAUCACCCACACCCAAGCUCCUCUACGGUACAGAUGUGGUAGACACCGGUCUGGUUCGUGGACCGUAUUCACUUCACGGCCUGUGGGGGAGCGACAACAUCCUCUACCACGGUACAUAUGUCUACACGUGUGUACAUGUCCGCCGGUAUCAUCGGUACAGGACCAAUUUGUACCACCUCCGUCCUCAUGUAACCGAUGCCUCAUCAUGCCCGUUAGUGGCCGUCGACUGAUGCCUCCUAUAUAUAUACCUGUCACUAUGUAUAUCCAAUUUCCAAGCAGCUCAUAUCGUACAUUGAAUAUGUCCCGGUACACAUCCCAAUGUACAUCUGUACACCCAUGAUAUCAGACUCAUUUAUACCUGGGAGCCAAAACGCCACUCCCCAAAAUAUUUCCUUUUACAAAUUGAAGACCGGAAAUUUAGUUUUUUCGGUCGGCUGCUCCAGAGCGCUAGGUAGCAGUAGGC
rnacentral:lncRNA from 1 species